rnacentral:rRNA from 1 species
UUAGGUCACCAUAGCGGCAAGGUCCACCUGAUACCAUCCCGAACUCAGAAGUUAAGCCUGCUAGCGCCGACGAUAGCGUCAGUAAAAAUAGGGAGUGGCUCUUU